ensembl:snRNA U1 U1 spliceosomal RNA
AUACUUUUCUGGCAGGGGAGAUACCAUGAUCACAAAGGUGGUUCACCCAGGGUGAAGUUCAGCAAUUGCCCUGCAGCUGUGCUGACCCCUGCAAAAUUUCCCAAAUGUGGAAAUCUUGACUGCAUAAGUUCUGGUAGUAGGGGACUGUGUUUGUGCUCUCCACUG